UAGCAGCACAUCAUGGUUUGCAGGACUGCCUGAUAUGGCAAAUCAUAAUUUGCUGCUUUA
rnacentral:pre_miRNA from 1 species